rnacentral:lncRNA from 1 species
ACGAGGAAUGGAUAAGAAAUAAUGCUCGAGCAAAUGAAAGGAAUAGGCGGAAUGACAGGCCUCGUAAUUUUGAUAGAUCAAGGAACUUCGAAAGAAGAAGGGAAAAUAUGCAGAACAGAGAUUUUCAAGCUCCUAUGCAAAACUCACCUCCCAACAUGGGUGGAGGGCCUCCUCCAAACAUGGGUGGAGGGCCACCUCCAAACAUGGGUGGAGGGCCGCCUCCGAACAUGGGCAUGGGUGGAGGACCACCGUCGAACAACUUUGGAGGGCCGCAGAACAACUUUCGAGGAGGGCCACCCAACAACUAUGGAGGAGCACCACCAAGCAACUAUGGAGGGGGAGCGCCACCAAGCAACUAUGGAGGGGGAACACCACCAGGCAACUAUGGAGGAGGAGCGCCACCAAGCAAUUAUGGAGGAGGAGCACCAC